rnacentral:rRNA from 1 species
AGAGCGAACGCUGGCGGCAGGCCUAACACAUGCAAGUCGAGCGCCCGUAGCAAUACGGGAGCGGCAGACGGGAGAGUAACACGUGGGAACGCGCCCUUCGGUUCGGAAUAACUCAGGGAAACUUGAGCUAAUACCGGAUACGCCCUUACGGGGAAAGAUUUAUUGCCGAAGGAACGGCCCGCGUCCGAUUAGCUUGUUGGUGAGGUAAUGGCUCACCAAGGCGACGAUCGGUAGCUGGUCUGAGAGGAUGACCAGCCUCACUGGGACUGAGACACGGCCCAGACUCCUACGGGAGGCAGCAGUGGGGAAUAUUGGACAAUGGGCGCAAGCCUGAUCCAGCCAUGCCGCGUGGAUGAUGAAGGCCCUAGGGUUGUAAAGUCCUUUUAACGGGGAAGAUAAUGACGGUACCGUAGAAUAAGCCCGGCUAACUUCGUGCCAGCAGCCGC